rnacentral:antisense_RNA from 1 species
GGAGGUGGGAGGUAGGAGGUGGCAAAGGGUGGGCUAAGAGAGGCCCCCACACCUGUUUAGAUGGGUCUGGAUCUCUCCAGAGAACCUAGCACUGAAUGGGUGUCACCAAGGCAGGAGCAAGGCCUGCUGGAGGCCGAGGCCAAGGCCAUGCCACCCACAUGCCUGGAGUAUGGCCUCUGGAACCCCCUGCAGGCAGGGUGGGGUGGGAGAAGGUAAAAGCUCAGCAUGAUGUAGCAGUCCCCACCAGCCUCUUCUCCCCCAGGCAUGGUUGGGAACAUUCCUCUGUGGUUUUCCCGCCAGCCAUACUGACGACUCUGUGGCCACAAGGCCAGAGCCACAUGUGCAGAAGUGGCCAGAUGUGGCCAGAGGGUGGGGUUACACAUACUCAUCUUCAUUCCCAACCCAUGUCCUGCCCCAGCACCAGGAGAAAGGGUCCUUGGAAACUGCAGAAGGCCUUCCUGGAGGUAACUAGCCACAGCCCACGAUGGUGGCAAGGAAAUGGCAGCCAGCUCAGGUCUCCCCAGCCCGUGAAGUGCUCAGCAAGGCCCUGAGCUGGCCGGAGGGUUAUCUGUUCUUAGUCAAGCUUGGCUUGGCCCGUGGCACUCUGAUCACUCAGCCAAGCAAUGGACAGCCGUCAACCUGCUGCUCCCGGCAAUGCCGGGGUUGUAGGAGCCAGAUUCCAGCCUGCCUGCCCAGGGAAGGGCAGAGGUCCAAGCACUCCUGGCUCCCAGCAGAUAACCCUGCCUAGGGCUGGAACUGUCGCCAGCAGUACUGGCUUCCCUUGCAGGAGCCCUGCAGAGAGCACAUGGGCUCAGGCAAGGGGAAUCUCCCACCAGCCUGUCACUGCCACUGCAGCAGCAGAGAUGUUAGGCCCGGAGCUGCAGCGGGAACCACAGCCCUAUUGGUAUGCAGGUGGCAGGGCAGGCAGAGGGCUCUGCCAUGCAGCCUCGUUCCCAUGCAAACAGGAAGCACAGGCGACUCCAGAAUAUUAAUUUGCAGGACCUGCAGGGACUGGGUGACAUGCAGCACCCCAGGGGUUUGCCAGGUAGCAACCUGCUCCACCCAAAGUGGAAGGGGCCAUGGCUACUCUGCCUGAGUCAGGGAAAGGAGGGGCAUGGAGCCCCAUGAAUAGAGUCUGCCCAGGCACAGACCCUGGAGCCUGGCGGGCCUUGCACUCUCUCAAGGAUCUGUGCCCUCUGCCAGCCUGGCAUGAGCAGAGCAGGUGGCAGCAGUUGCCAUCAGCACCAAGCACCUGGAAGGGGAAGUGGUUGUGUCAUGAUAGGAAGAGGCUCUUGGCCGCCUCCUGGUGGACUAGGAAGGCUGGGGAACCUCUGGGAAAAGAAGAGGAUAGACAGGCCCGGGGCGUGGUGGCCAGUUACCCAGGGCUGUCUCUUAAAAAAAAGGGAACCUGGGCCAGGCGCAGUGGCUCAUGCCUGUAAUCCCAGCAGUUUGGGAGGCUGAGGCGGGCGGAUCACCUGAGGUCAGGAGUUCAAGACCAGCCUGGCCAACAUGGCAAAACCCCAUCUCUACUAAAAAAUACAAAGAUUAGUUGGGUGCGGUAGCGGGCACUUGUAAUCCCAGCUACUCAGGAGGCUGAGGCAGGGAGAGUUGUUUGAACCCAGGAGGCAGAGGUUGCAAUGAGCCCAGAUCAUGCCACUGCACUCUAGCCUGGGUGAUAGAGCGAGACCCUAUCUA